GGAGGGCAACGCUGUCAACCAACCUAAGCAGAGUGAGGGAAAGGGGUGUGGUGGCAGGGGAGGGUGUGUGUUGUGUGUGUGUGUGUGUGUGCGUGUUGUGUGUGUGUGUGUGUGUGUGUGUGUGUG